CUUGAAUUUAUUCACUUCGACCUUUCGCAUGGGAAGAUAACGUGUCAAGAGCUCAGACUCACUGUUUAACCUCUCCUCUAAAUCCCAUAGACCAUCUUUUGCGUCUGGUAAAAUUCAGAGUUCAAUGUCUUGGAUGCAUCAAACUUUUCAGUCCAGGAGCCUUUGAAGUAGAGUGCAUUCCCCAACACCAAUCUAGUGCCUUUAUCAACAGAUCCAGGGGGGAGGAGCUCUUUGAUCAAGUUUGAGAUCGAAACAAUGGAUUCUCAAUUCAUAGCAAUGCCAAUAUUGAAACACGUCCACUCAAUUUGUAACAAUGGAUUUACUUUCUUGUCUACAUUAUCGUCCUCCAAUACAAGACCUACUAUCAGAGAAGAAGAUUGACGAUGCUAGAAUUUAUGAAGGUCUUUACUACUUCGAGGAUAAUAAUAGUCGUCUUUGGUGUCUCAUGUUGCUUAUUUUAGGUUCUAGGAAUAGAGAAAUAAUAUCUGGCACUAUCGUCUUGUCCA